rnacentral:rRNA from 1 species
AUUGAACGCUGGCGGCAGGCCUAACACAUGCAAGUCGAACGGUAACAGAAAGCAGCUUGCUGCUUUGCUGACGAGUGGCGGACGGGUGAGUAAUGUCUGGGAAACUGCCUGAUGGAGGGGGAUAACUACUGGAAACGGUAGCUAAUACCGCAUAACGUCGCAAGACCAAAGAGGGGGACCUUCGGGCCUCUUGCCAUCGGAUGUGCCCAGAUGGGAUGAGUUAGUAGGUGGGGUAAUGGCUCACCUAGGCGACGAUCCCUAGCUGGUCUGAGAGGAUGACCAGCCACACUGGAACUGAGACCAGGUCCAGACUCCUACGGGAGGCAGCAGUGGGGAAUAUUGCACAAUGGGCGCAAGCCUGAUGCAGCCAUGCCGCGUGUAUGAAGAAGGCCUUCGGGUUGUAAAGUACUUUCAGCGAGGAGGAAGGUGUUGUGGUUAAUAACCACAGCAAUUGACGUUACUCGCAGAAGAAGCACCGGCUAACUCCGUGCCAGCCGCCGCGGUAA